CAGACGUGACCCAUGUCCCUGGAGCUGAAUGGACAGAGCCUUGGACGGCCUGAAAUUUACUAUAUAGACCCGGCUAACAUUGAACUCACAGACACCGUCCAGAUCCCAACUCCAAGUGCUGGAGUUAAAGGCAAGCACCACCACCCCCAGAUAUACUUGGUGUUGUACGGGUGAUUUGCCUGCAUUGAUGUCUGUGUAUCAUGUGCAAGCCUGGUGCCUAUGGAUGUCAGAAGAGAUCAGAUCU
rnacentral:lncRNA from 1 species